GACGAACGCUGGCGGCGUGCUUAACACAUGCAAGUCGAACGGAAAGGCCCUGCUUUUGUGGGGUGCUCGAGUGGCGAACGGGUGAGUAACACGUGAGUAACCUGCCCUUGACUUUGGGAUAACUUCAGGAAACUGGGGCUAAUACCGGAUAGGAGCUCCUGCUGCAUGGUGGGGGUUGGAAAGUUUCGGCGGUUGGGGAUGGACUCGCGGCUUAUCCGCUUGUUGGUGGGGUAGUGGCUUACCAAGGCUUUGACGGGUAGCCGGCCUGAGAGGGUGACCGGCCACAUUGGGACUGAGAUACGGCCCAGACUCCUACGGGAGGCAGCAGUGGGGAAUAUUGCACAAUGGGCGGAAGCCUGAUGCAGCAACGCCGCGUGCGGGAUGACGGCCUUCGGGUUGUAAACCGCUUUCGCCUGUGGCGAAGCGUGAGUGACGGUAAUGGGUAAAGAAGCACCGGCUAACUACGUG
rnacentral:rRNA from 1 species